GACGAACGCUGGCGGCGUGCUUAACACAUGCAAGUCGAACGGAAAGGCCCUGCUCUUGUGGGGUGCUCGAGUGGCGAACGGGUGAGUAACACGUGAGUAAACUGCCCUUGACUUUGGGAUAACUUCAGGAAACUGGGGCUAAUAUCGGACAGGAGCACCUGAUGCACGGUGGGGGUUGGAAAGAUUCGGAGGUUGGGGAUGGACUCGCGGCUUAUCAGCUUGUUGGUGGGGUAGUGGCUUACCAAGGCUUUGACGGGUAGCCGGCCUGAGAGGGUGACCGGCCACAUUGGGACUGAGAUACGGCCCAGACUCCUACGGGAGGCAGCAGUGGGGAAUAUUGCACAAUGGGCGGAAGCCUGAUGCAGCAACUCCGCGUGCGAGAUGACGGCCUUCGGGGUGUAAACCGCUUUCGCCUGUGACGAUGCGUGAGUGACGGUAAUUGGUAAAGAAGCACCGGCUAACUACGUG
rnacentral:rRNA from 1 species